AAUCAACGCUGGCGGCGUGCCUAACACAUGUAAGUCGAACGCGAAAGCCCCUUCGGGGGCAAGUAGAGUGGCGUCCGGGUGAGUAACACGUGGGUAAUCUACCUCCGGGUGGGGAAUAACUCGCCGAAAGGCGGGCUAAUACCGCAUAAUGCAGCGGCACCGAAUGGUGAUUAGUUGUUAAAGCGGGGGACCUUAGGGCCUCGCGUCUGGAGAGGAGCCUGCGGCAGAUUAGCUUGUUGGUAGGGAAUGGCCUACCAAGGCUGCGAUCUGUAGCUGGUCUGAGAGGACGGCCAGCCACACUGGCACUGACACACGGGCCAGACUCCUACGGGAGGCAGCAGUGGGAAUUUUGGGCAAUGGGCGAAAGCCUGACCCAGCAACGCCGCGUGAAGGAGGAAAUCCUUCGGGAUGUAAACUUCACAAGCAAGGGAAGAGCGCGCAGGGUCGAAUAAACUCUGCGUCCGACGGUACCUUGCGUAAGCCACGGCUAACUACGUGCCAGCAGCCGCC
rnacentral:rRNA from 1 species